rnacentral:rRNA from 1 species
ACCCCCCUCCAAUCGGUGUAGUGGGGUAUUCAGUUAUUCUACUACUCCUUUGGUCGUUUACUGUGAGAAAAUUAGAGUGUUCAAAGCGGGCGUUUGUUUGAAUAGAUUAGCAUGGAAUAAUGAUUGAAGGCUUUCGUGUUCGAUUUGAUUGGUUUGUUCAUGGAAGCAAGGUUAAAAGGAACAGUUGGGGGUAUUCAUAUUCACUAGUUAGAGGUGAAAUUCUCGGAUUUAUGGAAGAUGAACAGGUGCGAAAGCAUUUACCAAGGAUGUUUUCAUUAAUCAAGAACGAAAGCUAGGGGAUCGAAGAGGAUUAGAUACCCUCGUAGUCUUAGCUAUAAACGAUACCGACUAGGGGUUAGUAGAGGUCAAUGUGUCUCUAUUAGUACCUUAUGAGAAAUCAAAGUCUUUGGGUUCCGGGGGGAGUAUGGUCGCAAGGCUGAAACUUAAAGGAAUUGACGGAAGGGCACCACCAGGGAGUGGGAGCCUGCGGGCUUAAUUUGACUCCAACCACGGGGAAACUUACCAGGUCA